AUGAAGCUGAGCGGCUUCUUUCUACUCUCUGUGAACAUCCUCCUUUGCCUCUGAAUGACCCAGCCUGGAGUCUUGAGGCUGCACGGAAACCGGGAUAUUGCCCAGAGUUUGAUCUUGACUGCCCUUUCACUCUCUUACCUAUGCGCUGGCGUGAUAAGAGUUGCAGGGGGUCAAGAAGUGUUGCUACUACAACUGUCGGCAUCAGUGUAUGGAGCCCUGGUGGACUUUGGA
rnacentral:lncRNA from 1 species